rnacentral:rRNA from 1 species
GACGAACGCUGGCGGCGUGCCUAAUACAUGCAAGUAGAACGCUGAAGAGAGGAGCUUACUCUUCUUGGAUGAGUUGCGAACGGGUGAGUAACGCGUAGGUAACCUGCCUUGUAGCGGGGGAUAACUAUUGGAAACGAUAGCUAAUACCGCAUAACAAUGGAUGACACAUGUCAUUUAUUUGAAAGGGGCAAUUGCUCCACUACAAGAUGGACCUGCGUUGUAUUAGCUAGUAGGUGAGGUAAUGGCUCACCUAGGCGACGAUACAUAGCCGACCUGAGAGGGUGAUCGGCCACACUGGGACUGAGACACGGCCCAGACUCCUACGGGAGGCAGCAGUAGGGAAUCUUCGGCAAUGGGGGCAACCCUGACCGAGCAACGCCGCGUGAGUGAAGAAGGUUUUCGGAUCGUAAAGCUCUGUUGUAAGUCAAGAACGGGUGUGGGAGUGGAAAGUUCACACUGUGACGGUAGCUUACCAGAAAGAGACGGCUAACUACGUG